rnacentral:snoRNA from 1 species
UUGCAGCCAAUUAAAUUGACUGCACUCUUUUCCCCAUGAGGGCCCGGUGUGCAAUGUCUGCAAACGGCAGCCUCCUGGGUAUAGUGUACGCAGCCUGUUGCCUGUAUGGGUUGCCCUAAGGGACCUUGGAGACAGCC